GGGGAGAUGGCUCAGUUGGUAAAGUGCUUGCCUUGCAAGCAUGAAGACCCGAGUUCAAUCCCCAGAGUCCCUG
rnacentral:tRNA from 1 species